GUACCAGCAGUAUAACAAUAUCAAUAAGCUUUGCCUCAUUAAGAAGCUUUACAGCUGCUGUAACAACAGAAUCAACAGAAGUUACUUUUAGUACAUCAACAAGCUCAAUGAUGAGUACACCAGCUAGUACAUUACAAAGUACUGACAGUAAUACACUAAUAAUAGCAGGAAGUAUUAGUACAGCAGUAUUUAUAUUACUGGUAGUUACUAUACUAGUAAUAUUAAUAGUGAGUGUAUUAGUGUGUAGGAGAAUAUGGUAUAAAACAUCAAAAGGAAAUGAUAAUUUCAGUUUUGUUAAAAGGAAAGCUGAUAAAGAUCAGCAAUCAGAUGGUAUAAAAGUUAAUGUAUGACAUGUUCAUUAAGAAUGCAUAAUACUAUAUAUGAAUAAUAUAAUUUAAUUUGUAUAGGACUAAGAAUAAAUGAUACACUAGCAUCAUCAGCUAAUCCUGCAUAUGGAGUUUCUGGUGAAAGUAAGAACUUUAAAUAGUCCAUAGAUGGUCCUGCUUAAUAUACUGAAAAUAAGAUUUUAAUGUAUUUAUUAAUAGCUUCUGGUGUAUCUGCUAAUCCUGCCUAUGGUAUUAACAUUGGAGGAAUAGAAAGUAUUGAUGAAGAAUUAUUAGUAUAUGAUGAACCAAGAACAAUGAUGAAUAAUAAACGAGAGG